rnacentral:rRNA from 1 species
AGCGAACGCUGGCGGCAGGCCUAACACAUGCAAGUCGAACGAACCCUUCGGGGUUAGUGGCGGACGGGUGAGUAACACGUGGGAACGUGCCUUUAGGUUCGGAAUAACUCAGGGAAACUUGUGCUAAUACCGAAUGUGCCCUUCGGGGGAAAGAUUUAUCGCCUUUAGAGCGGCCCGCGUCUGAUUAGCUAGUUGGUGAGGUAAUGGCUCACCAAGGCUACGAUCAGUAGCUGGUCUGAGAGGAUGACCAGCCACAUUGGGACUGAGACACGGCCCAAACUCCUACGGGAGGCAGCAGUGGGGAAUCUUGCGCAAUGGGCGAAAGCCUGACGCAGCCAUGCCGCGUGGAUGAUGAAGGUCUUAGGAUUGUAAAAUCCUUUCACCGGUGAAGAUAAUGACUGUAGCCGGAGAAGAAGCCCCGACUAACUUCGUGCCAGCCGCCGCCGUAA